CGGCGGACCGGGGGGCGGGGCGGACAGGCCUGGGCGGAGCGGGAGGCGGAGGCGCCGCGUAGGCCCGGGAGGCCGGGCCGGCCGGGCUGCGAGCGCCUGCCCCAUGCGCCGCCGCCUCUCCGCACGAUGUUCCCCUCGCGGAGGAAAGCGGCGCAGCUGCCCUGGGAGGACGGCAGGUGGGAUAUCACCCCAUAUCCAUCUCUCCAGUCUCUACCCUGUCCCCAGAAAAAGCCCAGAGGGCAAGGGAGAAUCUGUAGAGGUUCCAGCCUUCCCAGACCACUCUCAGGACUGGGCUGUGCUCCUCCGCAGCUGAAUCCACCACCACAGGAUAAUGGGGGGUCCGGGUUGCUCUCCGGCGGCCUCCCUCGGAAAUGUUCCGUCUUCCACCUCUUCGUGGCCUGCCUCUCGCUGGGCUUCUUCUCCCUACUCUGGCUGCAGCUCAGCUGCUCUGGGGACGUGGCCCGGGCAGUCAGGGGACAAGGGCAGGAGACCUCGGGCCCUCCCCGGGCCUGCCCCCCAGAGCCGCCCCCUGAGCACUGGGAAGAAGACGCAUCCUGGGGCCCCCACCGCCUGGCGGUGCUGGUGCCCUUCCGCGAACGCUUCGAGGAGCUCCUGGUCUUCGUGCCCCACAUGCGCCGCUUCCUGAGCAGGAAGAAGAUCCGGCACCACAUCUACGUGCUCAACCAGGUGGACCACUUCAGGUUCAACCGGGCGGCGCUCAUCAACGUGGGCUUCCUGGAGAGCAGCAACAGCACGGACUACAUUGCCAUGCACGACGUUGACCUGCUCCCUCUCAACGAGGAGCUGGACUAUGGCUUUCCUGAGGCUGGGCCCUUCCACGUGGCCUCCCCGGAGCUCCACCCUCUCUACCACUACAAGACCUAUGUCGGCGGCAUCCUGCUGCUCUCCAAGCAGCACUACCGGCUGGUUCAAGGCCCCGUGAGAACGGGAGAGGGCCCGGGACGCGCUGCUUCCUGCCGCCCGCACUGCAGAAGUGCAGGAGCCUGCAAGCACCCGGGGCUUAUUCAGAGGCGCCGGGGGAGAGGGGCACUCCCGAGCGGUAGGAGACCAAAGGCCCCCCCCGGGAAGAUGGGCCGAGUGACGCUGCUUGUCUCUGUGUCAGUGCAAUGGGAUGUCCAACCGCUUCUGGGGCUGGGGCCGCGAGGACGACGAGUUCUACCGGCGCAUUAAGGGAGCUGGGCUCCAGCUUUUCCGCCCCUCGGGAAUCACAACUGGGUACAAGACAUUUCGCCACCUGCACGACCCAGCCUGGCGGAAGAGGGACCAGAAGCGCAUCGCAGCUCAAAAACAGGAGCAGUUCAAGGUGGACAGGGAGGGAGGCCUGAACACUGUGAAGUACCAUGUGGCUUCCCGCACUGCCCUGUCUGUGGGCGGGGCCCCCUGCACUGUCCUCAACAUCAUGUUGGAUUGUGACAAGACCGCCACACCCUGGUGCACAUUCAGCUGAGUUGGAUGGACAGUGAGGAAGCCUGUACCUAUAGGCCAUAUUGCUCAGGCUCAGGACAAGGCCUCAGGUCGUGGGCCCAGCUCUGACAGGAUGUGGAGUGGCCAGGACCAAGACAGCAAGCUACGCAAUUGCAGCCACCCGGCCGCCAAGGCAGGCUUGGGCUGGGCCAGGACACGUGGGGUGCCUGGGACGCUGCUUGCCAUGCACAGUGAUCAGAGAGAGGCUGGGGUGUGUCCUGUCCGGGACCCCCCCUGCCUUCCUGCUCACCCUACUCUGACCUCCUUCACGUGCCCAGGCCUGUGGGUAGUGGGGAGGGCUGAACAGGACAACCUCUCAUCACCCCCACUUUUGUUCCUUCCUGCUGGGCUGCCUCGUGCAGAGACACAGCGUAGGGGCCAUGCAGCUGGUGUAGGUGGCAGUUGGGCCUGGUGAGGGUUAGGACUUCAGAAACCAGAGCACAAGCCCCACAGAGGGGAACAGCCAGCACCGCUCUAGCUGGUUGUUGCCAUGCCGGAAUGUGGGCCUAGUGUUGCCAGAUCUUCUGAUUUUUCGAAAGAAACUAGAAUGCUGGAUUCUUAAGUGAUAUCUUCUGAUUUUUUAAAUGAUAGCAACUAAAUGAAACUUUCAAAAAGUA